GGAAUAUUGGGCAAUGGAGGAAACUCUGACCCAGCGACGCCGCGUGCGGGAUGAAGGCCUUCGGGUUGUAAACCGCUUUCAGCAGGGAAGAAGCGAAAGUGACGGUACCUGCAGAAGAAGCACCGGCUAACUAUGUGCCAGCAGCCGCGGUAAUACAUAGGGUGCAAGCGUUGUCCGGAAUUAUUGGGCGUAAAGAGCUCGUAGGUGGUUCGUCACGUCGGAUGUGAAACUCUGGGGCUUAACCCCAGACCUGCAUUCGAUACGGGCGAGCUUGAGUAUGGUAGGGGAGUCUGGAAUUCCUGGUGUAGCGGUGGAAUGCGCAGAUAUCAGGAGGAACACCAAUGGCGAAGGCAGGACUCUGGGCCAUUACUGACACUGAGGAGCGAAAGCGUGGGGAGCGAACAGGAUUAGAUACCCUGGUAGUCCACGCCGUAAACGGUGGGCACUAGUUGUGGGGACCUUCCACGGUCUCUGCGACGCAGCUAACGCAUUAAGUGCCCCGCCUGGGGAGUACGAUCGCAAGAUUAAAACUCAAAUGAAUUGACGG
rnacentral:rRNA from 1 species